GGGUGGCUAGCUCAGGGGUAGAGCAAUCGCCUUACAAGCGAUGGGUCGUGGGUUCAAAUCCCUCGCCGCCCACCA
rnacentral:tRNA from 1 species